CCUACGGGGGUUGCAGUAGGGAAGAGUACACAAGGGACGAAAGACGGAGGGAGCAACGACGAGUGAGUGAAGAAGGGUGUAGGAUCGGAAAGCUCUGUUGGUAGUGAAGAAAGAUAGAGGUAGUAACUGGCCUUUAUGUGACGGUAAUUACUGAGAAAGUCACGGCUAACUACGUGCCAGCAGCCGCGGUAAUACGUAGGUGGCAAGCGUUGUCCGGAUUUAUUGGGCGUAAAGCGAGUGCAGGCGGUUCAAUAAGUCUGAUGUGAAAGCCUUCGGCUCAACCGGAGAAUUGCAUCAGAAACUGUUGAACUUGAGUGCAGGAGAGGAGAGUGGAACUCCCUGUGUAGCGGUGUCAUGCGUAGAUAUAUGGCAGAACACCAGUGGCGAAGGCGGCUCUCUGGUCUGCAACUGACGCUGAGGCUCGAAAGCCUGGGUAGCGAACAGGAUUAGCUACCCUUGUAGUC
rnacentral:rRNA from 1 species